GCAUUAGUGGUUUAGUGGUAAAAUCCAUCGUUGCCAUCGAUGGGCCCCGUGUUCGAUUCACGGCUGAUGCA
rnacentral:tRNA from 8 species